rnacentral:rRNA from 1 species
CGUGGGUAACCUGCCUUAUAGUGGGGGAUAGCCUUUCGAAAGGAAGAUUAAUACCGCAUAAGAUUGUAGUAUCGCAUGAUAUAGCAAUUAAAGGAGCAAUUCGCUAUAAGAUGGACCCGCGUCGCAUUAGCUAGUUGGUGAGGUAAUGGCUCACCAAGGCGACGAUGCGUAGCCGACCUGAGAGGGUGAUCGGCCACAUUGGGACUGAGACACGGCCCAGACUCCUACGGGAUGCAGCAUG